CAGCCGCCGCGGUAAGACAGAGGUCCCGAGCGUUGUUCGGAUUCAUUGGGCGUAAAGGGUGUGUAGGAGGCCAGGUAAGUCAGGUGUGAAAUCUCAGAGCUUAACUCUGAAACUGCGCUUGAUACUGCUUGGCUAGAGGAUCGGAGGGGGUAACGGAAUUUAUGGUGUAGCAGUGAAGUGCGUAGAUAUCAUAAGGAACACCGGUGGCGAAGGCGGUUACCUGGAAGAUUCCUGACUCUGAAACACGAAAGCCAGGGGAGCAAAUGGGAUUAGAUACCCCCGUAGUCCCUGUCUCUUAUAC
rnacentral:rRNA from 1 species